rnacentral:lncRNA from 1 species
UUUUUUUUUGUUAGAGACCCUCAAGGCCUCAAAGAGAUCUUAUCACUAGAUAUUACUCCCUCCGUUUUGAAAUAUUUGAACUUCUGGAGUUUGUGGUCAAAACAUUUUUAAGUUUGAUCAUAGUAUGAAAAUAAUACAUUAUGGUGAGUGUAACGAGGCUAAUUUGUUGUUUUAGAUAUUAGUACUCUUUUAGAGGCUUGGUCAAACUUAAGAAAUGUUUAACUUAGGACAAACCCCUAGAACUUUAAAAAAAUUGUAACCGAGGAAGUAUCAUGAAAAACAGUAGAUAGUAUAAUCAAAAGACAAAAAGACACAAAACAACCAGCAAAACAUAAAGUUAAAUUGUAUACUUUAAACGGCAAGUAGCUAAUGUAAAAUUUAUCUGAUAUAGAAAACACAUUGGAUAUCUUCUUCCUUCGGCUUGAAAAAUGAAUUGAACCAAUAGUAAGCUGAAGCGAUACCCGCCAGCGCCUCACCGUAUCAGGUGUUGAAGACCAUAGUAAUCAUCACAACUAAAAGAGAUUUAGUAAUCGCUCAAGGUAUAUUGGUUGGGGCAUCACCCCACACAACGAAGGGCUUGCAAUCCUUCACCACCAAUCCAGAGGGUUGGAGAAACCGAGACAUGCUGUAUAACAACUCAAGAGAGGAGGUCAAAGUCACCGCAUUAAUACCCAGCCAAAUGUCUCCCUUGAUAGACACACUAGCUAUCAAGAUAUAAAGAGAUCCAACAAAUCUAGCAACACCUACCCUCAAUGCCCUUCGUCGGCGUUGGAUUGGACGUCGUCGAGGCAGGGAGAGCAUGCAGAGACCUUAUUCCAACGCGACCAUCACCGUCACCGCCUCAUCUCCAGGGAAACAACUAAGGGAAACAAGAACUAAGAAAAAAAUGAAAGGGACAAGUCCCCAGUUCUCUGACCGCCGAUGAACUGCCAGAUACAGAGGAAGUGGACCGCAUCGUCAGUGUGGAUGAGACUUGGUGGCGGCUAGAGUUAGGGCACGUUGGUUGACUCGGAACUCGGUGUAACCAAUUGACCAUGGUAGUAGCCGAUCAAGACAGCGGCGAAGCCAGCCUAAAAAAUCUGUGGGUUCAUUGUUCAUUUUCUGAAUUUUUUUCUUCACAAUGAACAGUGACUAUACAGUAUUUUUAGGCUAUUUUGCUGAAAAGCUGUGGGGUCGGCCGACCCCACAGCUAACACGUAGCUCUGCCACUGGAUCAAGAGACAACAAUUUUAAUGCAACGUAACACAAAAAUGUUGAAAUCAAAUAGAGGUAUUUUUCACGAAAAGGCCGAAGGCCAUAUAUUAAAUAAAAUUAACCCUUACAAGAAUAAUAAAUUAUAGUCAAGUCCUUGAAAAACAAGCACCCUUACAAACCUCGUUCAUCCUCUGCCUCAUUGACGUCGCUCCGAGGAAGGACACCAACGUAGCAACAACCAAGGAAGAAUUACUCCCAUUGUCAUCAAUGCCUUAACUUCACUGACGACAAAGAACUUGAAUACCCUACGAGACAUGGACUGGGACACUCAAAUCCGGGGUUCGCUCAUUGAGUACGGCGGAGGCCAUGGGAAACCAUUGCGGCGUCAGUGGCUGGAGAGGAUGUGGAAGUUCCCUCCUGAUCACCUCCUCUCAAGAAAUUGACACUCAAUUAUUUGUCUUCAAUGAAAAUAUAUCUUUCCAACUUAUAAAAUUUUGAGUUCGCAGUGAGUUCACUUCCCCUACUUUACACUUAGUAGUACGUGUGGCCACAACUUUUGCAUGUCUGUGUGUACUCAUUUGGCCAUUCCAUCUCUAAAUUCAUGCAUUGAACUAUUAUGUUUACUCUACAUUCAUGCAUCAAACCACUGCCUGUUUGUUGGUCGUCGAGCCAAAGUUAAUCGGUGUCCUCAUUUGACAAAUUCCUAUCCUCGUUUUUUCCGUUAUAGCUAUGUAGCAACGCAUGGGUACUAUGCUAGUAUCAGAGAAAUUGUGCUUUAUUUCUUUAAUGAAUAAUAACAAUAUACAGAGUAAAAAGGCAGUACAGUACAAAUCAUUAUGCUUCCUUAUUUAACCGAUGCAUGUUAUACAAUACUUAUAACACGAUAUACAUGUUUUCCUUUUGAUAUAUAAAAUCAAAAUGGAUCAGAAAACAAAGCCAUGACUUGGCAGCUUGGGCACUAUACAUACAUAUACAUAAGCCAAGCUUCUUAUUCUUGGGUUUGUUCCUUCAGCAGUGUAAUCCGGCAGGCAGCAGCGCCUCUCCUCUCUUAUUCUUCAGUUAUUAUUUACUUCAACACGAAAACAGAAAGAUCUUCGGUUGCUUCGACAACUUGUAGAACAGAGCCUCGUGUUGAAACCAAGGAGGCAUCAACACCGAGGUUCAACAAAGACUGACACGGUUCUUCUGGGCACAGUGAACCUGCCCGUCGCGGCCUCGUACACAGAUUUCCCCACCAAAGCAUCUGAUGAAUUCACCUG